rnacentral:tRNA from 1 species
UUGGUAAGGACGGGGUUAAACCCGCCUGCACAGGGCUACAACCUGCCGCCUA